rnacentral:rRNA from 1 species
GACGAACGCUGGCGGCGUGCUUAACACAUGCAAGUCGAACGGAAAGGCCCUGCUUUUGUGGGGUGCUCGAGUGGCGAACGGGUGAGUAACACGUGAGUAACCUGCCCUUGACUUUGGGAUAACUUCAGGAAACUGGGGCUAAUACCGGCUAGGAGCUCCUGCUGCAUGGUGGGGGUUGGACAGUUUCGGCGGUUGGGGAUGGACUCGCGGCUUAUCAGCUUGUUGGUGGGGUAGUGGCUUACCAAGGCUUUGACGGGUAGCCGGCCUGAGAGGGUGACCGGCCACAUUGGGCCUGAGGUACGGACCAGACUGCUACGGGAGACAGCAGUGGGGAAUAUUGCACAAUGGGCGGAAGCCUGAUGCAGCAACGCCGCGUGCGGGAUGACGGCCUUCGGGUUGUAAACCGCUUUAGCCUGUGACGAAGCGUGAGUGACGGUAAUGGGUAAAGAAGCACCGGCUAACUACGUG